rnacentral:rRNA from 1 species
UACGUAGGGUGCAAGCGUUGUCCGGAAUUAUUGGGCGUAAAGAGCUCGUAGGCGGUCUGUCGCGUCGGCUGUGAAAUCCCCGAGGCUCAACCUCGGGUCUGCAGUCGAUACGGGCAAACUAGAGUAUUGCAGGGGAGACUGGAAUUCCUGGUGUAGCGGUGAAAUUCGUAGAUAUUGGGAAGAACACCGGUGGCGAAGGCGGCCAACUGGACCACAACUGACGCUGAGGCGCGAAAGCGUGGGGAGCAAACAGG